UUUCACUUUGGGAUGAUAACACAGGUUUGGAAUGGAUACUGGUGAUAGUUGCACAACAAUGUAUUUCUACUUAAUGUACUUAAAUUUUCUCUUAUACAUAUUUCACCACAGAAAAAAAAUUAGCAAAUAUUUAAAAAUCUACAUGUUUCUUUGAACUGUUUCUUUACGUCCCUUGUCCAUUUUUCAAUUUGGCUGUUGGUCUUUUAAUAAUUUAGGAUAGCUAUAUAGCUAUAUAUAUACAUAUAUAUUACACAAAUUAGCUUUUUGUCUGUCAUGUAUGUUGCAGAUCUGUUUCCCCAGUCUGUUGACUUUUGACUUUGAUGCAUUUUUCUUGCCUAUAAAGUUUUAAUUUUUAUGGAGUCAAAUGCAUCAGUCUUCUAUUCAAAGACUUAUUUAUGGGUUUGGUGUUUCAGUUUAGGAUGAAAAAGAAGUUGUAGAUAUGGAUAAAGGAGAUGGUUGUACAACACAUUAUAUUGGACCACUCAACUGUACGUUUAAACAUGGUUAAAAUGGCAUGUAUCAAACCAAGAAAGCGGCUAGGAGGGCAACACAUCUACCUGUAUACAGGGAGCUAUGAAAUACGUGAGCUGCGCAAGUGAUGCACAAGGAAACGGAAGCAGUAUGACCUUUACACAGUGACCUGGCUCAAAUAAUUUCAGGCUGUCAUUAACCAGGCGAGCUCCACUUUCUCUCUGAGUUUAUAAUGUACCUGAUCCACUUGUCUCAUCACACUAGCUGCAAACAAGGCCACUGAAUGUCACAGCAGGUGGCCGGCAUGUCUGUGAAGGGCAGAAACUGGGGCAGCCAAACAGCUGGCAGAGGCCAGCUAGGAAGUACCUGAUGCCCACUCCAUAGAGGACUCCACACUUAAAAGACAAGAUCAGCAAGUGUCAGGCUGCCUCACUAGUUAUCCCCCCAAAUAAAAAAAUAAAAGUAA
rnacentral:lncRNA from 1 species